GACGAACGCUGGCGGCGUGCCUAACACAUGCAAGUCGAACGAAGCUCUGCGAUACAAGACUUCGGUCAAGUUGAACGGAUGACUUAGUGGCGGACGGGUGAGUAACGCGUGAGGAACCUGCCUUUCAGUGGGGGACAACAGUUGGAAACGACUGCUAAUACCGCAUAAUGUAUUCUGACCGCAUGAUCGGAAUACCAAAGAUUUAUUGCUGAAAGAUGGCCUCGCGUCUGAUUAGAUAGUUGGUGAGGUAACGGCCCACCAAGUCGACGAUCAGUAGCCGGACUGAGAGGUUGAACGGCCACAUUGGGACUGAGAUACGGCCCAGACUCCUACGGGAGGCAGCAGUGGGGAAUAUUGGGCAAUGGGGGAAACCCUGACCCAGCAACGCCGCGUGAAGGAAGAAGGCUUUCGGGUUGUAAACUUCUUUUACCAGGGACGAAGGACGUGACGGUACCUGGAGAAAAAGCCACGGCUAACUACGUG
rnacentral:rRNA from 1 species